AGGUGUUGAAAGGUCCCGCUAAGAUUGAAAAAGAAGAAAGCAGAUUCGUUCCCCCUCUUAUACGACGGGCAGAAAGUUAUACUCCCGAGCCUGUAACAUGCCGAUGGUGUCACUUUGGAGGGUAAUAGACAAUUUGGUAUGUCCAGCUGGUAGAUAUAAUUGACAGAUCCAGUAGACGUUGGUAAACAGUGGCAUAGUUUGGAUCUACCGGCAAUGGGUGACAUUGGGGCCCCCGAGCUAAGAACGAAGCCAUAAGGAGUUGACACUGCUGUCGAUCGAGGGGGAAGAGCUUCAGGUCCAUCGGGCAAGACAAAGUCAACGAGAUUCUGUCGUGGAGAGGAAGAAGAAGAAGAAGAGACGAAAUGUAUACUGCAAGAUUUAUCCCUUCUGCGAUAAGGAAGUGGAAAUGGCCGCUAAAACCUGACCAAACUUGAAAGCAUCGCACCCUGACCCUCCAUCGCAAAUGAAACUGACGAACGAGAGACGAUUCAAGACCCUUUAUACAGUUCACUUAAGACCCUCUAACGUGACUCGAAUUCCCUACCACCAAUGCACUUAGGGCUGAGAGGGCGGCGGCCGGCCCAAGUAUUCUAUAACAUAUACUCCCUGAUGCAAAAUUGUAUUGCUGCGAAGUUGGUCGAAUGAGACAACCAUAUUCCGAUCUCCCUGAAAGUUGGCAACGAAGUGCCUUUAACUAAUUAGCCCGAACCGGAGGAAAACCAGAGAAAGGUAUG